UACGGAGGGAGCUAGCGUUGUUCGGAAUUACUGGGCGUAAAGCGCACGUAGGCGGCUUUGUAAGUUAGAGGUGAAAGCCCGGGGCUCAACCCCGGAAUUGCCUUUAAGACUGCAUCGCUUGAAUCCGGGAGAGGUGAGUGGAAUUCCGAGUGUAGAGGUGAAAUUCGUAGAUAUUCGGAAGAACACCAGUGGCGAAGGCGGCUCACUGGACCGGGUAUUGACGCUGGAGGUGACGAAAGCGUGGGGAGCAAACAGG
rnacentral:rRNA from 1 species